rnacentral:rRNA from 1 species
UACGAACUGUGCGAACGUUAUUCGGAAUCACUGGGCUUACAGGGUGCGUAGGCGGCUAUUCAGGUCAGGUGUGAAAGCCCCCGGCUCAACCAGGGAACUGCGCUUGAAACCGAGUGGCUCGAGUCAGCUAGAGGUACACGGAACUUCCAGUGGAGCGGUGAAAUGUGUUGAUAUUGGAAGGAACACCGGAGGCGAAAGCGGUGUACUGGGGCUGGUCUGACGCUGAGGCACGAAAGCCAGGGGAGCGAACGGG